GCCCCAUUAAAGUGAUGGGAGAUCUGGGUACGCCACUGUUUGUGAUACUUUAGCAGGGUUCUUUAAAAAAGGAAAAAUUCAGAGUGAACGCAAAUAAUUAAAAAUUUAUGGCCAGGGUAGUUAAAGGGACACUCCAGGCAGCUAAACAAGUUGAGCUUAAAUUAAAUCUAAUAAGCUCAAAUACCAGUGUUUCUUUUCUUUCAGGUCUGUGUAGUUUUCUUGCAGUGCUGUAAAAUGUUUUGCCGUUUUCAGCAGUGUAACUUAGCCUACUGAUUCCCAGUCUCUGAAAGAAACAUAUCCUUUGCAGCCAAUAAAAAUAGAGCCAUGUCUUCUGUAGUGUAAGGAAUGUGCACAGCACAGACUGCACUGCAGAGACAAGGCUAGAGCACAUCUAUGAUCCUCU